AGCGUAUAUUAAAGUUGUUGCAGUUAAAAAGCUCGUAGUUGAAUUUCGGGGUCAGUAGGUCGGUCGUGCCACUGGUAUGAACUGGUUUUACUGAUUCCUCCCUCUUGAAGAACUGUAAUGCCAUUAAUUUGGUGUUGCAGGGAAUCAGGACUGUUACUUUGAAAAAAUUAGAGUGUUUAAAGUAGGCUUUAGCUUGAAUACAUUAGCAUGGAAUAAUGAAAUAGGACGUUUGAUCCUAUUUUGUUGGUUUCUAGGAUUGACGUAAUGAUUAAUAGGGAUAGUUGGGGGCAUUAGUAUUCAAUUGUCAGAGGUGAAAUUCUUGGAUUUAUUGAAGACUGACUACUGCGAAAGCAUUUGCCAAGGAUGUUUUCAUUAAUCAAGAACGAAAGUUAGGGGAUCGAAGACGAUCAGAUACCGUCGUAGUCUUAACCAUAAACUAUGCCGACUAGGGAUCGGAUGAUGUUGAUUUUUUAAUGACUCAUUC
rnacentral:rRNA from 1 species